rnacentral:rRNA from 1 species
AGAUUGAACGCUAGCGGGAUGCUCUACACAUGCAAGUCGAACGGCAGCGCGGACUUCGGUCUGGCGGCGAGUGGCGAACGGGUGAGUAAUAUAUCGGAACGUGCCCAGUAGCGGGGGAUAACUACGCGAAAGCGUGGCUAACACCGCAUACGCCCUACGGGGGAAAGGGGGGAUCGCAAGACCUCUCACUAUUGGAGCGGCCGAUAUCAGAUUAGCUAGUUGGCGAGGUAAAGGCUCACCAAGGCGACGAUCUGUAGCUGGUUUGAGAGGACGACCAGCCACACUGGGACUGAGACACGGCCCAGACUCCUACGGGAGGCAGCAGUGGGGAAUUUUGGACAAUGGGCGAAAGCCUGAUGCAGCAACGCCGCGUGAGGGACGAAGGCCUUCGGUUGUAACCUCUUUAGUAGGAAGAAGGAGCUUGCUCUUGACGGUACCUGCAAGAAAAGACACCGGCUAACUACGUGCCAGCAGCCGC